rnacentral:tRNA from 1 species
UGUGGCUCAGUGGUAGAGCACGUGCCUAGCAUGCAUGCAUGAUGCACUGGGUUUGAUCCCCAGCA